GGCGUAGAAGGUGCUUGCACCUUUCAAGCGAGUGGCGAACGGGUGGAGUAACACGCUGGAAUAACCUGCCUCAAGGUCUGGGGAUAACAUUUGUGAAACAGAUGCUAAUACCGAAUAAAACUUACUAUCUCAUGAUACCAAGUUAAAAGGCGCUACGGCGUCNCCUGGAGAUGGAUCCGCGGUGCAUUAGUUAGUUGGUGGGGUAAAGGCUUACCAAGACAAUGAUGCAUAGCCGAGUUGAGAGACUGAUCGGCCACAUUGGGACUGAGACACGGCCCAAACUCCUACGGGAGGCUGCAGUAGGGAAUCUUCCACAAUGGGCGCAAGCCUGAUGGAGCAACGCCGCGUGUGUGAUGAAGGCUUUCGGGUCGUAAAGCACUGUUGUAUGGGAAGAAAUGCUAAAAUAGGGAAUGAUUUUAGUUUGACGGUACCAUACCAGAAAGGGACGGCUAAAUACGUGCCAGCAGCCGCGGUAAUACGUAUGUCCCGAGCGUUAUCCGGAUUUAUUGGGCGUAAAGCGAGCGCAGACGGUUGAUUAAGUCUGAUGUGAAAGCCCGGAGCUCAACUCCGGAAUGGCAUUGGAAACUGGUUAACUUGAGUGUUGUAGAGGUAAGUGGAACUCCAUGUGUAGCGGUGGAAUGCGUAGAUAUAUGGAAGAACACCAGUGGCGAAGGCGGCUUACUGGACAACAACUGACGUUGAGGCUCGAAAGUGUGGGUAGCAAACAGGAUUAGAUACCCUGGUAGUCCACACCGUAAACGAUGAAUACUAGGUGUUAGGAGG
rnacentral:rRNA from 1 species